rnacentral:rRNA from 1 species
CCCUUAGAUGUUCUGGGCCGCACGCGUGCUACACUGAGUGGAUCAGCGGGUCAGGUUGCGCGAAAGCGUUUCCUAAUCUUUAAAUCCGCUCGUGAUGGGGAUUGACGGUUGCAAUUUUCUGUCAUGAACGAGGAAUACCUUGUAAGCGCGGGUCAUCAUCCCGCGCUGAAUACGUCCCUGCCCUUUGUACACACCGCCCGUCGCUCCUACCGAUUGAGUGGUCCGGUGAGGCUUUGGGAUCUGAGCGGAAAGAGCGUUUCGCUGUUUCUGCUCGGAAAACUCAGUCGAACCUUAUCAUUUAGAGGUAGGAGAAGUCGUAACA